UUUCCCAUCUUGUUUUGUUUUGUCUUUCAUACCAGGUCAUGUGUCUUCUCAGUCAUGUUGACACUGGUCUACUACCAGGUCAUGUGUCUUCUCAGUCAUGUUGACACUGGUCUACUACCAGGUCAUGUGUCUUCUCAGUCAUGUUGACACUGGUCUACUACCAGGUCAUGUGUCUUCUCAGUCAUGUUGACACUGGUCUACUACCAGGUCAUGUGUCUUCUCAGUCAUGUUGACACUGGUCUACUACCAGGUCAUGUGUCUUCUCAGUCAUGUUGACACUGGUCUACUACCAGGUCAUGUGUCUUCUCAGUCAUGUUGACACUGGUCUACUACCAGGUCAUGUGUCUUCUCAGUCAUGUUGACACUGGUCUACUACCAGGUCAUGUGUCUUCUCAGUCAUGUUGACACUGGUCUACUACCAUGUCAUGUGUCUUCUCAGUCAUGUUGACACUGGGCUACUACCAUGUCAUGUGUCUUCUCAGUCAUGUUGACACUGGUCUACUACCAUGUCAUGUGUCUUCUCAGUCACGUUGACACUGGUCUAC